rnacentral:rRNA from 1 species
UACGGAGGGUGCGAGCGUUGUCCGGAAUCACUGGGCGUAAAGGGCGCGUAGGCGGCGCGAGGAGUCGGGGGUGAAAGACCGGGGCUCAACCCCGUGUCAGCCCGGGAUACUGGGGAGCUAGGGACAUGUAGGGGCGAGCGGAAUUCCGGGUGUAGUGGUGAAAUGCGUAGAGAUCCGGAGGAAUACCAGAGGCGAAGGCGGCAUCCUGGGUCUGACCUGACGCUGAGACGCGACAGCAUGGGGAGCGAACGGG